rnacentral:rRNA from 1 species
AGGGUUUGAUUCUGGCUCAGGACGAACGCUGGCGGCAUGCCUAACACAUGCAAGUCGAACGAGAAAGUUCCUUCGGGAGCAAUUAAAGUGGCGCACGGGUGAGUAACGCGUAGACAAUCUGCCCUUCAGUCCGGGACAACUUUUCGAAAGAAGAGCUAAUACCGGAUAACAAUGUUUGACCUAAGUUAAGUAUUUGAAAGCUUUAUGUGCUGAAGGAGGGGUCUGCGUCCCAUUAGCUAGUUGGUAAGGUAAAGGCUUACCAAGGCGACGAUGGGUAGCGGGUUUGAGAGGACGAUCCGCCACACUGGAACUGAGACACGGUCCAGACUCCUACGGGAGGCAGCAGUGGGGAAUAUUGCACAAUGGAGGCAACUCUGAUGCAGCAAUGUCGCGUGAGUGAAGAAGGCCCUUGGGUCGUAAAGCUCUUUUAUGGGGGAAGAUGAUGACGGUACCCCAAGAAUAAGCACCGGCUAACUAUGUGCCAGCAGCCGCGGUAAUACAUAGGGUGCGAGCGUUGUUCGGAAUUACUGGGCGUAAAGGGCGCGCAGGCGGAAUAGUAAGUCGGAGGUGAAAGCCCGGGGCUCAACCC